AUUGAACGCUGGCGGCAUGCCUUACACAUGCAAGUCGAACGGCAGCACGGGUGCUUGCACCUGGUGGCGAGUGGCGAACGGGUGAGUAACACGUGAGAAACCUGCCCCAGACUCUGGGAUAACACGAGGAAACUCGUGCUAAUACCGGAUACCUUCUUUUGGUCGCAUGGCCAGCUGAAGAAAGAUUUAUCGGUUUGGGAGGGUCUCGCGGCCUAUCAGCUAGUUGGCGGGGUAACGGCCCACCAAGGCAUCGACGGGUAGCUGGUCUGAGAGGACGAUCAGCCACACUGGGACUGAGACACGGCCCAGACUCCUACGGGAGGCAGCAGUGGGGAAUCUUGCGCAAUGGGCGAAAGCCUGACGCAGCAACGCCGCGUGCGGGAUGAAGGCCUUCGGGUUGUAAACCGCUUUCAGCAGGGAAGAAAUUGACGGUACCUGCAGAAGAAGCCCCGGCCAACUACGUGCCAGCAGCCGCGGUAA
rnacentral:rRNA from 1 species